rnacentral:rRNA from 1 species
GAUGAACGCUGGCGGCGUGCUUAACACAUGCAAGUCGAACGAAGCACCUUGAUUUGAUUCUUCGGAUGAAGAUCUUGGUGCCUGAGUGGCGGACGGGUGAGUAACGCGUGGGUAACCUGCCUCAUACAGGGGGAUAACAGUUAGAAAUGACUGCUAAUACCGCAUAAGACCACAGCACCGCAUGGUGCAGGGGUAAAAACUCCGGUGGUAUGAGAUGGACCCGCGUCUGAUUAGGUAGUUGGUGGGGUAACGGCCUACCAAGCCGACGAUCAGUAGCCGACCUGGAGGGUGACCGGCCACAUUGGGACUGAGACACGGCCCAAACUCCUACGGGAGGCAGCAGUGGGGAAUAUUGCACAAUGGGGGAAACCCUGAUGCAGCGACGCCGCGUGAGCGAUGAAGUAUUUCGGUAUGUAAAGCUCUAUCAGCAGGGAAGAAAAUGACGGUACCUGACUAAGAAGCACCGGCUAAAUACGU